rnacentral:rRNA from 1 species
CGGGGGGAGCAAGCGUUGUUCGGAUUUACUGGGCGUAAAGGGCGGGUAGGCGGCCACCGCAAGUCAGUUGUGAAAUCUCCGGGCUUAACCCGGAAAGGUCAACUGAUACUGCGGGGCUAGAGUGCAGAAGGGGCAACUGGAAUUCUCGGUGUAGCGGUGAAAUGCGUAGAUAUCGAGAGGAACACCUGCGGCGAAGGCGGGUUGCUGGGCUGACACUGACGCUGAACUGCGAAAGCUAGGGGAGCGAACGGGAUUAGAUACCCCGGUAGUCCUAGCCUUAAACGAUGAAUGCUAGGUGUUGAGAUUUUCUCAGUACCGAAGCUAACGCGAUAAGCACUCCGCCUGGGAAUUACGGCCGCAAGGCUA